rnacentral:lncRNA from 1 species
UUUUUACAUGAAACAACUGUACCAGCUAAACCUUCACAGAAUAACAGGAUUUUAACUAAGUUUAUUAACCUGUCUUUUUCAGUUGGUAUUGUUGUGGAUCCUGUGCAUCUUUUGAUAUGGGAAACAACACGUCAGUGAAUGAUGUGACCGUUUUUCUUAGAGAUCUCCCCAAAAGUGGAGAAUCCAUGUUUACCUUUUAGCGGGG